rnacentral:rRNA from 1 species
AUUGAACGCUGGCGGCAUGCCUUACACAUGCAAGUCGAACGGCAGCAUGAUCUAGCUUGCUAGAUUGAUGGCGAGUGGCGAACGGGUGAGUAAUACAUCGGAACGUGCCCUGUAGUGGGGGAUAACUAGUCGAAAGAUUAGCUAAUACCGCAUACGACCUGAGGGUGAAAGUGGGGGACCGCAAGGCCUCAUGCUAUAGGAGCGGCCGAUGUCUGAUUAGCUAGUUGGUGAGGUAAAGGCUCACCAAGGCGACGAUCAGUAGCUGGUCUGAGGGGACGAUCAGCCACACUGGGACUGAGACACGGCCCAGACUCCUACGGGAGGCAGCAGUGGGGAAUUUUGGACAAUGGGCGAAAGCCUGAUCCAGCAAUGCCGCGUGUGUGAAGAAGGCCUUCGGGUUGUAAAGCACUUUUGUCCGGAAAGAAAUGGCUCUGGUUAAUACCUGGGGUCGAUGACGGUACCGGAAGAAUAAGGACCGGCUAACUACGUG